AACAUCUUCUGGGAUGCAGAUUCAGGUUUCCUGGCAUUGACACAGACUGGCAAGUAUUUCCUUUGUAUAGGAAAUUCAAUAGGAUCUGAAAAGAGGGUAAACCAAGAACUGUGACAGCCACAAUAAAAUGUGCAUGGUGCUAAUAGGCCAAUUCCAGCUACAUGGUGACAGAAGAUAACUGAACAUUGGAAAUAAAAACUUCCUCAUUAGACUGCCAAAUAACCAAAUAUAUUAUUUACUUAUAGCAUAUCUUGUCAGAAGAUAAGGUUAACUUAAUGUUAGAAUUCAUAUGUAUUUACAUUGUCUGGAAAUACUUCAAGUAUCAGAAGUGUAUGAAAAGUAAUAUGUUGAAAAACUAAGAAUCUUGUCUGAGUGUAGAAUAUGGAAUGUAUACUUCAUAGAUGGGUGCUAAUUGCUGUUACUGUUUUAAAGGUAUUAAGAUGGUAACUUAAUGUUAAAAUUUAAACAUGUUAUAAGAUUGAUGUUAAAAUAAACAUUUCAAAUCCUUAUUUAAAAUAUGUACACACAUGUAUAUAUAUAUACAUAUAUAUGCAUGUAUAUA
ensembl:lincRNA